CACUCUUUCAUUCAAUUUCAUCUGAAACCCUUCUCCUUCUCUGAGACGUUUCUCUGUUGAAACGCUUUUCACCUCACAUCUGAAACCCUUCUCCUUCUUUGAGCCGUUCUCUAGGGUUUCAGAUAUAUAUAAAAUCAGUCAAGGAUUCGUAUUCUUCCUCAGAGGAUUUCAUGUAUCAGACCAUCUCUGCUUCAGUCAAGGAUCCGCUGCAAUCAGGAUUGACAUGGGAAUUCAGGGCUUCCUCGGCUAGGCUCAUCACGGUGUUAAUCUGAUUUCGUUUGUGAUCUGCUAGGAUUCAAAAUCAUCCUCUGAUACCGUUUGCAAUCUUUUGGGGUUCAAUCAUUAUUAUUGAUGCAUUAUAUAUCUUUCCUUUGCUUCGUUUCUCUGAAUGUCGCUCUGAUUCAGUAUUUACCUCACCAUUCGCUCCGUUCAAGACAAGGUUUGCUCCAUUCUCUGAAUUCCAGACUCCGGUUAGGGAUGCUUUUCACGGCUCCAGUGAGGGGUUGCGUUUUGAUUCUUCCACUUCUUUUAAUAGCUCCAUUAAGGACUCUUUAUCAAGGCUGCCAAGACUCUUUGCUUUUUACAGGCCUCGCUGGGACUCUCGGUGCGAGAAUCAAAUAGAAAGUGGAAUAAAGGGAUGAGAAUUUAUGAGAAUUGAGUGAGUUUUCUAUUUUUGGUUUUCAUAAUGGUUAAAAACUAAUAGAUAGAUGGAUAUCCAGGAGGAUGAGGAUGUGUCGGACACUGAUUUGAGAUUGGGAGAUCACGGACGCGACAGAGGGUACAUAAUUUUCAAUUAGGAGGUCAUUACUAUUGUGGUUGUGUGCUGAUGUGUGUUGCUGGGUUCAUCUAGCGUUUGAUGAGAAGCUUCUUGAACUCUUCAUAUGGAUGUUGGUUACAAGUGAGAAGUAAUGAGCUUUUAAUUCUAUCUUCCGUUUGUUUUGAUGCUAUAAAUUGGCUUCCCAUUUGUUUUUUCUUGGACUAAUUCUUCCUCUUUUGUCCAACAAAUCCAUAUUUGCUAAUCCUUUAUUUUAAAGAAUUCCCUUUUCUCUUCCAAAGAUUAGAGACGAAGGUGGAUUAUGAAUGUUUAAGAGAACUACACAGUUUUGCUGCUUUUGAUUUAUUUUUUCCUUUGUUUAACUUCAUUAGCAAUUUACUUUUUUAUGUGUUUUGUAAAUUUUCAGUUAUAUAAUUGGGUUCCUUUGUUUAUUUAUUUGACUUUUUUUGCAUAAGUGUGAAACAAAGGCUUUCUGUUCUCAGUUGCUCAAUUCGGUGUCUCAGGUUUUUUGCAUAUGAAAAUGUCUUUUUUAGAAGAAAAAAAAUCAAUACAUAUGUAUUUCUAUGAAUCUUUCACUCUCGGAUAUGGUUGUCAUGUGUUGUCUAUUUAUUUGUUAAUUCAGUUUUUCCUUUUCAUUUUUUCUUGGCUCUUCAAUUGUGAACAAUACCUAAAUUGGCAUGUUUGAUAGCAUAUAAUAGAUAUGGAGAUGGAGGCCGCUAGCUACCUUUAGCUAGGUGUUACCUGUUUUCAUGCGAUCUAUUCUUCUUCCUUCAGUUCUCUUUCCUGGUUCUUCAUCUCCCAACCUAAGUUCUGUUCUUAACCCUAAAGCAAAACAGUUCAAUGCAAAAGAAUUAAGUGGUUCUGCACUCAAUGCAGAGACCAGUACACGAAUCAAUUGAAGAACAUCAAAGGCUUUGAGGGACUCCAAGGUGAAGUCAUUCAGUUUAUUUUUAGUGUUCCUUCUAUUAUAUGUGCUCACAGCAUGAGAUGCCUUAGUAUUGGUCUCUGAGUUUUCAGGCAUGUUUAUCGUUUUCUUUCACGAAAUCACAGGUUAACCAAGUUAGUUCCUUUCUCUUUGGUUAAUGUUAAAUGUUCUUCUCAAUAAGAAUCAUAUUCAAAUUGCUGGCUUAUAAAAUUUUGAGAUGUUUUAUUUUGCUAACUGCACCAUUUUUGUUUUGUUGAUCUGCACCUUUCUUUAUGCAAAAUUCAUGGCUAAAGUAGCUUAAACUAAGCAACUUCAAUGGAAUCUUAUACUACACAUAAUUAGUACAAAGAUUUAUUAGAAAAUUGUAAAUUAAGUAUACAUAAUUUUCUCAAGAAGGCUGCAAGUUAAUCUCAAAUCAUAGAAGCCUUGGUCAAUUAUUUCCCAGACUUACAUUCUUCUCAAUAAAAAUCACAUUCAAGUUGUUGGCUAAUAAAUUGAGAUUCUUUUGUUUUUCUAACUAAACCAUUUUCGUUUAUGCUGAUCUGUAGUCUGCACCUUGCUUUACACAAAAUUCAUUCUUAUGAGGUACCUAAUCCUAGAAGCAAAUAAUUGGAUGUCUAUUUGUGCUUGACAACCUCAAUUGUUCAAGAAUACUUUUCAGGUCAUAGAGCAUCCUGGGAAAAAGAUGUAAGCUAUAGAUGGAUGUAAUGGAAGAUGCUUGAUUCAUUUAGCAUGUUGCAACUUUCCAAAGGAGUGUUGCAUGUUGAAACUUUCCAAAGGAGUGUUGCAUGUUGCAACUUUCCAAAGGAGUGUUGCAUGUUGCAGGGCGAAUUCAUUUGUUAAGGAGGCAAUUUGUUGACACAUAUUUAAGAAAAUAUGCAAUGUCUGCUAUGAUGAGAUUGUAGCUUGAAAUUUUCCAAUAACAUUUGAUUUUGAGCUGGGCCUUUCAACUACUUAUUUUUAUUGACCAAAUUGUUGAAUGCACGAUCUCAGUAAGUUUAAUCUUUUUGAAUAAUGAUUGAAAUAAGUGUUCUAUUUGUUGAACAUGAAUGCAGAUAAUUAAAUUAUUUGGUGAGUUUGGUUAAAUCUCAAACUCUUGAACUAUUUAUGUUUUUAUGUUA